rnacentral:rRNA from 1 species
GACGAACGCUGGCGGCGUGCUUAACACAUGCAAGUCGAACGGAAAGGCCCUGCUUUUGUGGGGUGCUCGAGUGGCGAACGGGUGAGUAACACGUGAGUAACCUGCCCUUUACUUUGGGAUAACUUCAGGAAACUGUGGCUAAUACCGGAUAGGAGCUCCUGCUGCAUGGUGGGGGUUGGAAAGUUUCGGCGGUUGGGGAUGGACUCGCGGCUUAUCAGCUUGUUGGUGGGGUAGUGGCUUACCAAGGCUUUGACGGGUAGCCGGCCUGAGAGGGUGACCGGCCACAUUGGGACUGAGAUAGGGCCCAGACUCCUACGGGAGGCAGCAGUGGGGAAUAUGGCACAAUGGGCGGAAGCCUGAGGCAGCAACGCCGCGUGCGGGAUGACGGCCUUCGGGUGGUAAACCGCUUUCGCCUGUGACGAAGCGUGAGUGACGGUAAUGGGUAAAGAAGCACCGGCUAACUACGUG